GGCAGGUUAGCUCCGAUGAUUAGAGUGUGGUGCUAAUAACACCAAGGUCAUGGGUUCGAUCCCCAUACUGGCCA
rnacentral:tRNA from 1 species